GUGACCUAUAAAAGAAACUUCUGGGAACAAUAUAUAAGGGAAAGGCAUUUGCCUGUUCACGGCUUAUUCUAUCCUCUGUGACUCAGUGUCUCUGUGGGAGGCAGAUGCCACCCUCUGGGAUCCUGGAGUCCUAGAGUCAGAUCUCAACACAACGGUAUCUGGAGAAUCCUUUCAGCCUUGUGACUAGUUGUCAAGAGGAUACUCUAGUUUAGGCAAAGGUUG
rnacentral:lncRNA from 1 species